rnacentral:rRNA from 1 species
GUUUUUAAUUGAAAUCUGGAAUGAAAGGUUGGAUGAAAUAUAAGCUGUUUCUUAAAAAUUUUUUGAAUUUUAUUUUUUAGUUAAAAAGCUAAAAUAUUUUUAAAAGACGAGAAGACCCUAUAGAGUUUAAUAAUUUUUAUUUUAUUUAUUAUUUAUUAAAAUUUAAUAAUUAAUUUAAAAUUAAUUUAUUGGGGUGAUAUUAAAAUUUAUUUAACUUUUAAAUAUUAUUUUCAAUAAUUUUUGUUUAUUUGAUCUUUUUUUAUGGAUUAAUAGUUUAAAUUACCUUAGGGAUAACAGCAUAAUUUUUUUAUUAAGUUCUUAUUAAUAAAAUUGAUUAU